ensembl:lncRNA
GCUGUAUGUUCAAACCUGAGGCCUUAAAUAGAAACACACAAGUAUCUGAUUGAAGGAACUUCUGCAGAGUCCUGGUUCCAGAACAUGAUGAUAGAAUUAUAGACAAACUUUAACAAAAGCUGCCUGAGAGUUUACAGCUUUUUAUGUUAGAUUUCUUCAGUAAUUUAAUGAGUUAUCAGCAAAAAUCAAGUGUUCAUUUGAUGAACUUCAUUUCCUAAAACAUCCAGAAUUGGAGCUCAUAUCUUUGGCAGCUGUAAAGUUUCUGCUCCUUCAAAGUUCACAACACAAUGAAUGAAUUCCUAAAACACUCUCAAUGCUGGAGAGCUUUUGAUGCUGAAGCAGUGACCAGUUUUUCUGUUUCUUCUCUGGAGAUGCACAAUGAGGGACGUCUGCAGAGACUGAGAAAGAGUCUCACCACAUCCUGACAUGAGGAAAAAGACUUUAUUGAAGACUACAAUGAGAAAAACUAUCAGACAGCAGACGGCUGCAUUCAAGUCUGUAGCUGCUGAAUUCAUGGAUGAAUCAUCUGGCACUAGAGAGGAAGACCAUCAAACAUCCAUGUCAGCUGAUGGAGGUCCAAGAGUCUCACCCAACAAACAACCUACAGAGUGAAGACCUCCAAUCUGAUUGGACGGCCUCCUAUUCAGCCACACGCUGUUAGAUUGUUCCAGAUAAGACAAGUACAAGAUUCUUCAGAGCCGUUCUACCACGAGCCUGACAGGAAGAACUCCAACAGCUACUGAAUGUUCCUGUGGU